rnacentral:tRNA from 1 species
GGGGAUUUAGCUCAGAGGUAGAGCACUUGCCUAGCAAGCACAAGGCCCUGGGUUCCGUCCCCAGCUCCG